AGGGUGGCUUCAGUUUGAAGGGGAGAGCUGUACACCACGCUCUGGUUUUCAUCCUUCAGACUGACUGAUCCCUUGGCACCUUAGGAGAAAGUUUUAGGCUGGGGGGAUGGGUGUAAGUGAGUGGCACUUGUGACUUGUGCUGAUCGUGGCUAGUGUACCUACAAACCAGCCAGGUCUGAACCCCGCUGAUGAGGAGAAGCUCAGUAAGGGCCUUGCUUUACACAGGCAGGCUUGGCCCCAGGUAUCACCAGUCCGAGUAACCCCAGGGUAAGCCCAGUUCCUAACUGCCAUGUUGACCGGCUUGAAGUGGAGUUUAUUAUCUUCUGCCCUUCUUGAUAUCCCAGAGUCACACUCUUCCCUCUGUGCCCUGCCAACAGGUCACCCUGGUUGAACGUUUCUGCAAGCUUGCAAUCGACAUUCACCUUUGUACCUGGUGUGCUGGCUAAUUCUGAAGCCAAUUGAUUGGAUUCAGAGAUGCAUAUGAUGGGGAUCAGGAUGUAGCUCUCAGCUACUGCUCCAGCACCUGCCUGGAUACUGCCAUGCUCCCUGCCAUGAUGAUAAUGAACAAAGCCUUGGAAAGUAAGGAAGUAAAUGCUUUCUCUGUAAUAGUUGCUGUGGUCACAGUGCUUCUUCGCAGCAAUAGAACAGUGACCAUGUGCAGGGCUGCUUCUGCCUUCAUGCUUUCCCCAACCUGAUGGACAGUCCCAGAAAACCACGAGCCAAAAUAAACUUUCUCCUGUCAGAUGCUUCUUGUAUUUGGUCAUGGCAUUAAGAAAAGUAGCUAAUUCAGAAAAUUGGUACCAGGAGUGGGGUUACCACUUUGAUAAACCAUCCUUGUGGUUCUUAGGUCUUUAGAACAAGUUUGUGGGAAUCAUGUGUAAGUUUCUGGAGCUGUGGGUUAUAGAAGUCCUAGAAUUCUGGGCUUGAUGGGAGAUUCUGAUGGGUGUUCGGGAUCCUAGAUACCAAUAGAAGUGUGGAUAGUGAAAGCCAGGUUCAUGAAGUUUCAGAGGGGAACAAGAACUGUAUUAAGAACUGUGCUGGAAGCUGCACAAGCAUAUUCCAGACUCCCAUUGAACGCUGCUAUGAAAAUCAUACAGAAUGCAUGAAAGACCCAGCUGCCUGAAGACCAAGAAGCCAAUG
rnacentral:lncRNA from 1 species